AUCAUGACGAAGAAGAAAAUCAAAAAAGAAGACAAUGCCACCUCCAUUGGCAGCCAAGACACGGUGUGCAAACCUCUCCAACAUACACUCAAUACCCUAGAAAGAAGGGCUAUAAUGGCUACAAAGCCUAUAAAGCCUAGAAGGCCUAAAAACUAGGUGCAUGAUGGACAAGGAGAAAGAAGGAGAAAAUAAUAGAGGAG
rnacentral:lncRNA from 1 species